rnacentral:tRNA from 1 species
AGGGGCAUGGCCAAGUGGUAAGGCAACGGGUUUUGGUCCCGUCAUUCGAGGGUUCGAAUCCUUCUGCCCCUG